rnacentral:rRNA from 1 species
GGAGGACAGGUGCUGCAUGGCUGUCGUCAGCUCGUGUCGUGAGAUGUUGGUUAAGUCCCGCAACGAGCGCAACCCCUAUCUUUAGUUGCCAUCAUUAAGUUGGGCACUCUAAAGAGACUGCCGGUGUCAAACCGGAGGAAGGUGGGGAUGACGUCAAGUCCUCAUGGCCUUUAUGACCAGGGCUACACACGUACUACAAUGGCCGGUACAAAGGGCAGCGACACAGCGAUGUGAAGCCAAUCCCGAAAAGCCGGUCUCAGUCCGGAUUGGAGUCUGCAACUCGACUCCAUGAAGUUGGAAUCGCUAGUAAUCGUGGAUCAGCACGCCACGGUCGAAUACGUUCCCGGGCCUU